UUUCAUUGUGUAUUUUUGCUCUCAAGCAUUUUCCAUGAUCUGUGUGUGGAUUUAUUGCCUGCAUUGGAUGACAAAGUCUUGAGUAUUGCUGCUAAG
rnacentral:sRNA from 1 species